ACCGGAUAGACCACAACGCCUGGAACGGUGUGUGGUUGAAAGGUCACGGCAUAGGAUGGGUCUGCGGCGUAUCAGGUCGUAGGGGGUGUAACGGACCUCCUAGCCAUCGACGCGUACGGGUUGUGGGAGCAAUAGCCCGGAGAUGGAUUCUGAGACACGAAUCCAGACCCUACGGGGUGCAGCAGGCGCGAAAACUUCACACUGCAGGAAACUGUGAUGAGGGAACUCCAAGUGACUGCACAUUGUGUAGCCUUUUCUUUACUAUUAAUCGGUAUUGGAAUAAGGGCUGGGAAAGACCGGUGCCAGCCGCCGCGGUAAUACCGGCAGCUCAAGUGGUCGUCGCUUUUAUUGGGCCUAAAACGUCCGUAGCCUGUUUGGUAAAUCUGUGGGUAAAUCAACCAGCUUAACUGGUUGAAUUCUGCAGAGACUGCCAGACUAGGGACCGGGAGAGGUGUGGGGUACUCUAGGGGUAGGGGUAAAAUCCUGUCAUCCUUAGAGGACCACCAGUUGCGAAGGCGCCACACUGGAACGGAUCCGACGGUCAGGGACGAAGCCUAGGGGCACGAACCGGAUUAGAUACCCGGGUAGUCCUAGGUGUAAACGCUGUGAACUUGGUGUCGGGAGUCCGCAAUGGGCCCCCGGUGCCGGAGUGAAGAUGUUAAGUUCACUGCCUGGGGAGUACGGUCGCAAGGCUGAAACUUAAAGGAAUUGGCGGGGGAGCACUGCAACGGGAGGAGCGUGCGGUUUAAUUGGACUCAACGCCGGGA
rnacentral:rRNA from 1 species